rnacentral:lncRNA from 1 species
AUUUGUUUUAGGGCCUUUUAAAACAAACACACCUCUCACUAUUUUCUCGAAUCUCUCACACUCCUCUGGUAGAGAAACGGAAGCCUUGCGACUCUAGGUUUCAAGUGGGGUACUACGGUCCCAUCAAUUUACAUGCCACCUCACCUAACAGUUAUUGGUGACACAUAAACGAUGAGUGUACAACUCUUGUACAAUGCUUCUCAAGCAAGUUGUAGCGCUAUACGGUCUCUAAGUAAUGAAGACCUCACCUAACAGUUAUUGGCCCCAUUCCUUAGUUAAGUCGGACCCACCAUAUAACCGCAGAAGCA